ACACCCGUGUGACACCCGUGUGACACCCGUGUGACACCCGUGUGACACCCGUGUGACACCCGUGUGACACCCGAGUGACACCCGAGUGACACCCACAGCUCUGCUCCAGCCCCCAGCGUGGCUCGGGGCUCUCCCGCAGCACAGGUGAGCAGAUCUCGGCCCGAGCCCCCCAAAAUCCCCAAGGAAAGCAGCAGGCGACGUCCAGCCCCCCAAAAUCCCCAAGGAAAGCAGCAGGUGACGUCCAGCCCCCCAAAAUCCCCCAAGGAAAGCAGCAGGUGACGUCCAGCCCUCCAAAUCCAUCCUGAAGUGAAGCACAACCGUCCCGGUUCAGGUAGCCCAAGGAGAGUUUUACUUAUCACAUCUCUAGGAACAACAGCCAGAAAAAAAGGAAAAAAAAGUAGAAAAAAAAUCUCUCGGCUUGCUGCAGGACACCAGGAGAAAUCCAACAUUCCGAUUCCCAAACAUCCUGGAAAAAAAACCCAAAAAACCAGAAAAAAACCACCAAAAAACCAAAAAAACCCAAACCAACCAACAAAAAAAACCCAAA